rnacentral:rRNA from 1 species
GACGAACGCUGGCGGCGUGCUUAACACAUGCAAGUCGUACGGUAAGGCCCUUUCGGGGGUACACGAGUGGCGGACGGGUGAGUAACACGUGAGUAACCUGCCCACAACUUUGGGAUAACGCUAGGAAACUGGUGCUAAUACUGGAUAUGUGCUCCUGCUGCAUGGUGGGGGUUGGAAAGCUCCGGCGGUUGUGGAUGGACUCGCGGCCUAUCAGCUUGUUGGUGGGGUAGUGGCCUACCAAGGCGGCGACGGGUAGCCGGCCUGAGAGGGUGACCGGCCACAUUGGGACUGAGAUACGGCCCAGACUCCUACGGGAGGCAGCAGUGGGGAAUAUUGCACAAUGGGCGGAAGCCUGAUGCAGCAACGCCGCGUGCGGGAUGACGGCCUUCGGGUUGUAAACCGCUUUCGCCUGUGACGAAGCGUGAGUGACGGUAAUGGGUAAAGAAGCACCGGCUAACUACGUG